rnacentral:rRNA from 1 species
CCUACGGGGGACAGCAGUGAGGAAUAUUGGUCAAUGGACGAGAGCCUGAACCAGCCAAGUAGCGUGAAGGAUGACUGCCCUAUGGGUUGUAAACUUCUUUUAUAUGGGAAUAAAAUGUUGCACGUGUGGGAUUUUGUAUGUACUAUAUGAAUAAGGAUCGGCUAACUCCGUGCCAGCAGCCGCGGUAAUACGGAGGAUCCGAGCGUUAUCCGGAUUUAUUGGGUUUAAAGGGAGCGUAGGUGGGUUGUUAAGUCAGUUGUGAAAGUUUGCGGCUCAACCGUAAAAUUGCAAUUGAAACUGGCAGUCUUGAGUACAGUAGAGGUAGGCGGAAUUCGUGGUGUAGCGGUGAAAUGCUUAGAUAUCACGAAGAACUCCGAUUGCGAAGGCAGCUCACUAAACUGCAACUGACACUGAGGCUCGAAAGUGUGGGUAUCAAACAGGAUUAGAUACCCCAGUAGUC